rnacentral:lncRNA from 10 species
CGCCCGGCCGUGUUUAAGCAAGUUUUAAAAAUACAUAAAUCCAUUGUGGCACAAUGUAAUAUGUAUCACCAUGCUACACCUGCGGACGCUUCCGAGCGGCUGCCAUGUCUGUGCAGUCAGGAAUGAUAAGUGAACCACCCGUGAAUGUUAACGAUAGUGAUCAUUCUGAGGUAACUUGGCUCUCCAUCUUCCUUUACAGCCUCCGUGCUGAAGCCAGGGUAGCAAGGUUCAUGAGAGGAAAAUGAAAACAACAGCGAAGGGAAGGGGCACACACGGCCCUCGGAAUGGACCUUCGUGAGUGUGCAGUAUCUUACUCUGGGGCUCCAUUUCCGUAAAAACGUGCACGUUAAAAGGAGAAAGAGGUUCUGCCCUGAGUGCUGCACAUUCAGGCAGACCUAAUAAGAGUUUCCUCAGGUCAGUCCCACGCUCCGCUCCUUUCCCUCCAGACGAAUGCCAACUUUGGAUCUUGUUCCACGUCUACAGCGCUUUGGGGGGAGAUGGGCAGGGUUUUGUUUUUUGAGUAAUACCCUCAUAUGUUUCCAAAACGUAAGAGCAUAGAAUGCAAGUGGUUCUCAGCCUCCGUCUAGGUGCAAGUGUUAAGUUAUGCUCCCAUUUAACAAGUGGAGAUGGAGACUUGCCACCACAAUUUUCAGCUUGACUUCCAAA